rnacentral:rRNA from 1 species
GUAACAAAGGUUUCCGUAGGUGAACCUGCGGAAGGAUCAUUACAGUAUUCUUUUGCCAGCGCUUAACUGCGCGGCGAAAAACCUUACACACAGUGUCUUUUUGAUACAGAACUCUUGCUUUGGUUUGGCCUAGAGAUAGGUUGGGCCAGAGGUUUAACAAAACACAAUUUAAUUAUUUUUACAGUUAGUCAAAUUUUGAAUUAAUCUUCAAAACUUUCAACAACGGAUCUCUUGGUUCUCGCAUCGAUGAAGAACGCAGCGAAAUGCGAUAAGUAAUAUGAAUUGCAGAUUUUCGUGAAUCAUCGAAUCUUUGAACGCACAUUGCGCCCUCUGGUAUUCCAGAGGGCAUGCCUGUUUGAGCGUCAUUUCUCUCUCAAACCCCCGGGUUUGGUAUUGAGUGAUACUCUUAGUCGGACUAGGCGUUUGCUUGAAAAGUAUUGGCAUGGGUAGUACUAGAUAGUGCUGUCGACCUCUCAAUGUAUUAGGUUUAUCCAACUCGUUGAAUGGUGUGGCGGGAUAUUUCUGGUAUUGUUGGCCCGGCCUUACAACAACCAAACAAGUUUGACCUCAAAUCAGGUAGGAAUACCCGCUGAACUUAAGCAUAUCA